AAGUACUGAAAAUAUUGAUUCAUAUAGGUUAAUACUUCAAGACUGAAUGGAAUUCAUGUCCCAUCAUCACCAUUGUAAACUACUGAAACCAUCUUCGGUGAGACAAAAUUUCCUGAAAAGGCUGAGGUCAGGACUGGGCUCUGAUAAAGUUGAUGACUUUCACAGCAGUAGACAAGACUCCUUUCAGAAUUGCUGGCACAGCCGAAUUCCUGUUGAUGGUAAGAGCAAUGAAUCACAACGAUCUAUGGAGUGUCUGCAGCACAGCCGCCAGACCAGGUGUGUUACUGAGCUUUUCAGGCGCUGCAUCUGGACCCAGAGAACCAAAACAUUCUGUUUACACAAAGUUCUCCUUGACAGAGACAUUUUUCCCUAUUUUGAAAAUGACAAUGGCUUGUCAGGUUUCCAAAAGGGAAUUAGAACAAUUGGAAUACUUCUUCAGUGGCACCAGUGUACAAAUAAAGAGCGAUAAUGAAGAGCUGGUUAAAA